ACACGACUCUCGGCAACGGAUAUCUCGGCUCUCGCAUCGAUGAAGAACGUAGCRAAAUGCGAUACCUGGUGUGAAUUGCAGAGUCCCGCGAACCAUCGAGUCUUUGAACGCAAGUUGCGCCCGAGCCAUUCGGCMGAGGGCACGCCUGCCUGGGCGUCACGC
rnacentral:rRNA from 1 species